GACGAACGCUGGCGGCGUGCUUAACACAUGCAAGUCGAACGGUGAAAGCGGAGCUUGCUCCGCUGGAUCAGUGGCGAACGGGUGAGUAACACGUGGGCAACCUGCCCCUGACUUAGGGAUAACCCCUCGAAAGAGGUGCUAAUACCGGAUACGAAUCCUGCAGGCAUCUGCGGGAUUGGAAAGUUUUUCGGUCAGGGAUGGGCCCGCGGCCUAUCAGCUUGUUGGGGAGGUAGUGGCUCACCAAGGCGACGACGGGUAGCCGGCCUGAGAGGGCGACCGGCCACACUGGGACUGAGACACGGCCCAGACUCCUACGGGAGGCAGCAGUGGGGAAUAUUGCGCAAUGGGCGAAAGCCUGACGCAGCAACGCCGCGUGAGGGAUGACGGCCUUCGGGUUGUAAACCUCUUUCAGCAGGGAAGAGGCGUAAGUGACGGUACCUGCAGAAGAAGCACCGGCUAACUACGUGCCAGCCGCCGCGGUAA
rnacentral:rRNA from 1 species